rnacentral:rRNA from 1 species
UACGUAGGGGGCAAGCGUUGUCCGGAUUUAUUGGGCGUAAAGAGCGUGUAGGCGGUCAGGUAGGUCCGUUGUGAAAACUCGAGGCUCAACCUCGAGACGCCGAUGGAAACCAUCUGGCUAGAGUCCGGAAGAGGAGAGUGGAAUUCCUGGUGUAGCGGUGAAAUGCGUAGAUAUCAGGAGGAACACCUGCGGUGUAGACGGCUUACUGGACCACGACUGACACUGAAACUCGAAAGUGUGGGGAGCAAACAGG